GAUGAAGAACGUAGCGAAAUGCGAUAAGUAAUGUGAAUUGCAGAAUUCAGUGAAUCAUCAAAUCUUUGAACGCACAUUGCGCCCGCCAGUAUUCUGGCGGGCAUGCCUGUUCGAGCGUCAUUACAACCCUCAGGCCCCCGGGCCUGGCGUUGGGGAUCGGCGGAAGCCCCCUGCGGGCACAACGCCGUCCCCCAAAUACAGUGGCGGUCCCGCCGCAGCUUCCAUUGCGUAGUAGCUAACACCUCGCAACUGGAGAGCGGCGCGGCCACGCCGUAAAACACCCAACUUCUGAAUGUUGACCUCGAAUCAGGUAGGAAUACCCGCUGAACUUAAGCAUAUCAAUAAGCGGAGGA
rnacentral:misc_RNA from 1 species